GACAAACGCUGGCGGCGUGUAUUAGGCAUGCAAGUCGCACGGACCUUCGGGUCAGUGGCGGACGGGUGAGUAACACGUGGGUAACCUGCCCUUCAGUGGGGAAUAACUCGCCGAAAGGCGAGCUAAUACCGCAUUCGACUUCCGGUGAGAGACCGGAUAGUGAAAGCAGUAAUGCGCUGAAGGAGGGGCCCGCGGCCGAUUAGCUUGUUGGUGGGGUAAAGGCCUACCAAGGCGACGAUCGGUAGCUGGUCUGAGAGGAUGGUCAGCCACACGGGGACUGAGAUACGGCCCCGACUCCUACGGGAGGCAGCAGCUAAGAAUCUUGCGCAAUGGGCGAAAGCCUGACGCAGCAACGCCGCGUGGGGGACGAAGGCCUUCGGGUCGUAAACCCCUUUUGCGAGGGAAGAAGUUCUGACGGUACCUCGCGAAUAAGCCACGGCUAACUACGUG
rnacentral:rRNA from 1 species